rnacentral:rRNA from 1 species
UUUAAAGAGAGUUUGAUCCUGGCUCAGGACGAACGCUGGCGGCGUGCCUAAUACAUGCAAGUCGAACGAACGGAGGAAGAGCUUGCUCUUCCAAAGUUAGUGGCGGACGGGUGAGUAACACGUGGGCAACCUGCCUGUAAGUUGGGGAUAACUCCGGGAAACCGGGGCUAAUACCGAAUGAUAAGAUGUGGCGCAUGCCACGCCUUUGAAAGAUGGUUUCGGCUAUCGCUUACAGAUGGGCCCGCGGUGCAUUAGCUAGUUGGUAGGGUAAUGGCCUACCAAGGCAACGAUGCAUAGCCGACCUGAGAGGGUGAUCGGCCACACUGGGACUGAGACACGGCCCAGACUCCUACGGGAGGCAGCAGUAGGGAAUCUUCCGCAAUGGACGAAAGUCUGACGGAGCAACGCCGCGUGUAUGAAGAAGGUUUUCGGAUCGUAAAGUACUGUUGUUAGAGAAGAACAAGGAUAAGAGUAACUGCUUGUCCCUUGACGGUAUCUAACCAGAAAGCCACGGCUAACUACGUGCCAGCAGCCGCGGUAAUACGUAGGUGGCAAGCGUUGUCCGGAUUUAUUGGGCGUAAAG